UACGUAGGGGGCAAGCGUUGUCCGGAUCUAUUGGGCGGAAAGAGCGUGUAGGCGGCCAGACAAGUCUGAUGUGAAAACUCGAGGCUCAACCUCGAGCUGUCGGUGGAAACUGUCUGGCUAGAGUCCGGAAGAGGAGAGUGGAAUUCCUGGUGUAGCGGUGAAAUGCGCAGAUAUCAGGAAGAACACCUAUGGCGAAGGCAGCUCUCUGGGACGGUACUGACGCUGAGACGCGAAAGCGUGGGGAGCGAACAGG
rnacentral:rRNA from 1 species